rnacentral:rRNA from 1 species
UUAAGGAAGAAGAUUUGACGGUACUUAAGGUGGAAAGCAUUGGCUAACUCCGUGCCAGCAGCCGCGGUAAGACGGGGGAUGCAAGUGUUAUCCGGAUUUACUGGGCGUAAAGCGUUUGCAGGUGGUUUUUUAAGUCUACUGUUAAAUCUUGAGGCUCAACCUCAAAUUUGCAGUAGAAACUAGAAGACUUGAGUAUAGUAGGGGUAGAGGGAAUUUCCAGUGGAGCGGUGAAAUGCGUAGAUAUUGG